AACGAACGCUGGCGGCGUGCCUAACACAUGCAAGUCGAACGGGAUUCGGAGCUUGCUCCGAUGAGAGUGGCGCACGGGUGAGUAACGCGUAGAUAAUCUGCCUGAUGAUCUGGGAUAACAGUUCGAAAGGACUGCUAAUACCGGAUAAGCCCACGGAGACCUUGGUCUUUGCGGGAAAAGGGGGGGACCUUCGGGCCUUCCGUCAUCAGAUGAGUCUGCGUACCAUUAGCUAGUUGGUAGGGUAAAGGCCUACCAAGGCGACGAUGGUUAGCUGGUCUGAGAGGAUGGUCAGCCACACUGGAACUGGGACAAGGGCCAGACUCCUACGGGAGGCAGCAGGGGGGAAUUUUGCGCAAUGGGGGAAAACCUGACGCAGCAACGCCGCGUGAGUGAUGAAGGCGCUUGGGUCGUAAAGCUCUGACAGAGGGAAAGAAGUGUAUGGUGGUUAAUACCCAUUGUACUUGACGGUACCCUCAAAGGAAGCACCGGCUAACUCCGUGCCAGCCGCCGCCGUAACAC
rnacentral:rRNA from 1 species